GAUGUAAAGCAAUUAAUUGCUUUUGGUUUCCACCCAAAACAAGCCCUUCCGGGCUACAUCUU
rnacentral:tRNA from 1 species